AUCGCUUCUCGGCCUUUUGGCUAAGAUCAAGUGUAGUAUCUGUUCUUAUCAGUCAGAGCUACACAUCUUGGCCUCAACGGUAGAGUCGUGAUCGCUCCCUUGGGUGGUGGAUUCUGUCAUUUUUGACAGAGUAUUCGUACAACCAGCUGGAGAAACAUUACAAACAGUAUCCCUUUUCUGGAAGUCUUUGAUUGUUUUGCCCAGACUCGUGUUUUGGCCUAACAAUC
rnacentral:snRNA from 1 species